GAUGAACGCUGGCGGCGUGCUUAACACAUGCAAGUCGAACGGAAAGGCCUCUGCUUGCAGGGGUACUCGAGUGGCGAACGGGUGAGUAACACGUGGGUGAUCUGCCCUGCACUUCGGGAUAAGCCUGGGAAACUGGGUCUAAUACCGGAUAGGACAAUGGUUUGGAUGCUGUUGUGGAAAGUUUUUCGGUGUGGGAUGAGCUCGCGGCCUAUCAGCUUGUUGGUGGGGUAAUGGCCUACCAAGGCGUCGACGGGUAGCCGGCCUGAGAGGGUGUACGGCCACAUUGGGACUGAGAUACGGCCCAGACUCCUACGGGAGGCAGCAGUGGGGAAUAUUGCACAAUGGGCGCAAGCCUGAUGCAGCGACGCCGCGUGGGGGAUGACGGCCUUCGGGUUGUAAGCUCCUUUCGCUAGGGACGAAGCGUUUUUGUGACGGUACCUGGAGAAGAAGCACCGGCUAACUACGUG
rnacentral:rRNA from 1 species